rnacentral:rRNA from 1 species
UGGGGAAUAUUGGACAAUGGGGGGAACCCUGAUCCAGCCAUGCCGCGUGUGUGAAGAAGGCCUUAUGGUUGUAAAGCACUUUAAGCGAGGAGGAGGGUACUGGUAUUAAUACUACCAGGUACUGGACGUUACUCGCAGAAUAAGCACCGGCUAACUCUGUGCCAGCAGCCGCGGUAAUACAGAGGGUGCGAGCGUUAAUCGGAUUUACUGGGCGUAAAGCGUGCGUAGGCGGCUAAUUGAGUCGGAUGUGAAAUCCCCGAGCUUAACUUGGGAAUUGCAUUAGAUACUGGUUAGCUAGAGUGUGGGAGAGGAUGGUAGAAUUCCAGGUGUAGCGGUGAAAUGCGUAGAGAUCUGGAGGAAUACCGAUGGCGAAGGCAGCCAUCUGGCCUAACACUGACGCUGAGGUACGAAAGCAUGGGGAGCAAACAGG